UUAGUGGCAGACGGGUGAGUAAUGCAUAGGAAUCUACCUAGUAGUAUGGGAUAGCCACUAGAAAUGGUGGGUAAUACUGUAUAAUCCCUGCGGGGGAAAGAUUUAUCGCUAUUAGAUGAGCCUAUGUUAGAUUAGCUAGUUGGUAGGGUAAAGGCCUACCAAGGCAGUGAUCUAUAGCUGGUCUGAGAGGAUGAUCAGCCACACUGGAACUGAGAUACGGUCCAGACUCCUACGGGAGGCAGCAGUGGGGAAUAUUGGACAAUGGGCGCAAGCCUGAUCCAGCUAUGCCGCGUGAGUGAGGAAGGCCUUAGGGUUGUAAAACUCUUUCAGUAGGGAAGAUAAUGACGGUACCUACAGAAGAGGUCCCGGCAAACUCCGUGCCAGCAGCCGCGGUAAUACGGAGGGGGCAAGCGUUGUUCGGAAUUAUUGGGCGUAAAGGGCAUGUAGGCGGUUUGGUAAGUUAAAGGUGAAAUACCAGGGCUUAACCCUGGGGCUGCUUUUAAUACUGCAGGACUAGAGUCCGGAA
rnacentral:rRNA from 1 species